AACGAACGCUGGCGGCAUGCCUAACACAUACAAGUCGAACGAGACCUUCGGGUCUAGUGGCGCACGGGUGCGUAACGCGUGGGAACCUGCCCUUAGGUUCGGAAUAACUCCCCGAAAGGGGUGCUAAUACCGGAUAAUGUCUUCGGACCAAAGAUUUAUCGCCUUUGGAUGGGCCCGCGUUGGAUUAGCUAGUUGGUAGGGUAAAAGCCUACCAAGGCGACGAUCCAUAGCUGGUCUGAGAGGAUGAUCAGCCACACUUGGACUGAGACACGGCCCAGACUCCUACGCGAGGCAGCAGUGGGGAAUAUUGGACAAUGGGCGAAAGCCUGAUCCAGCAAUGCCGCGUGAGUGAUGAAGGCCUUAGGGUUGUAAAGCUCUUUUACCCGGGAUGAUAAUGACAGUACCGGGAGAAUAAGCUCCGGCUAACUCCGUG
rnacentral:rRNA from 1 species